CCAGUGAGGGAAUUAAGGACGGCACAUUGUCCUUGAAACAGGGAUCCAGCAGGGUGGCCACCCAGUAAUCAGCACAAGUUAGAAUGUGGGCAACUCGGCAGUCGUUGCGCAGACACUUUGGUGACUUUAGGACACAUCGGGCCGACCGCACGUCCCUGUGACGGCGACGACGCAUUCGGAUGUCUGCCCUUUCAACUUUUGAUGGUACUUUCUGCGCCUACCAUGGUGACCAUGGGUAACGGGGAAUCAGGGUUCGAUUCCG